rnacentral:rRNA from 1 species
CAGUCGCCGCGGUAAUACAGAGGGUGCGAUCGUUAAUCGGAUUUACUGGGCGUAAAGCGUGCGUAGGCGGCUUCUUAAGUCGGAUGUGAAAUCCCUGAGCUUAACUUAGGAAUUGCAUUCGAUACUGGGAAGCUAGAGUAUGGGAGAGGAUGGUAGAAUUCCAGGUGUAGCGGUGAAAUGCGUAGAGAUCUGGAGGAAUACCGAUGGCGAAGGCAGCCAUCUGGCCUAAUACUGACGCUGAGGUACGAAAGCAUGGGGAGCAAACAGGAUUAGAUACCCCUGUAGUCCCUGUCUCUUAUAC